rnacentral:rRNA from 1 species
AUUGAACGCUGGCGGCACGCUUAACACAUGCAAGUCGAACGGUAACAGGUCUGCACACUCUAUGGUUUUGGGAACAGAGCUAUAGAGGUGCAGAUGCUGACGAGUGGCGAACGGGUGAGUAACGCGUAGGGAUCUGUCCUGUAGAGGGGGAUAACCCGGGGAAACUCGGGCUAAUACCGCAUACGUUCUGAGGAAGAAAGGUCGGGACCGUAAGGCCGAUCGCUACAGGGUGAACCUGCGUCGGAUUAGCUAGUUGGCGGGGUAAGGGCCCACCAAGGCGAUGAUCCGUAGCUGGUCUGAGAGGACGGACAGCCACACUGGGACUGAGACACGGUCCAGACUCCUACGGGAGGCAGCAGUAGGGAAUAUUGGACAAUGGGCGCAAGCCUGAUCCAGCCAUGCCGCGUGAGUGAAGAAGGCCCUCGGGUUGUAAAGCUCUUUUGUCCGGAAAGAAAGCAAUCGGUUAAUACCCGGUUGUUCUGACGGUACC